AGACGUCUACAUUAGAUACCCCCGUAGUCCCAGCCGUAAACUAUGCGCGUUAGGUGUAUCGGUGACCACGAGUCACCGAGGUGCCGAAGGGAAACCGUGAAACGUGCCGCCUGGGAAGUACGGCCGCAAGGCUGAAACUUAAAGGAAUUGGCGGGGGAGCACAACAACGGGUGGAGCCUGCGGUUUAAUUGGACUCAACGCCGGACAACUCACCGGGAACGACAGCAAUAUGUAGGCCAGGCUGAAGACCUUGCCUGAAUCGCUG
rnacentral:rRNA from 1 species